GGGAGUACGGUCGCAAGAUUAAACUCAAAGGAAUUGACGGGGCCGACAACGGUGGAGCAUGUGGUUUAAUUCCGACGCAACGCGAGAACCUUACCAACCCUUGACAUCCUGUGCACUUACCAGAGAUGGAUCGUUUCCUUCGGGACGCAGUGACAGGUGCUGCAUGGCUGUCGUCAGCUCGUGUCGUCACAUGUUCGGUUAAGUCCGGCAACGAGCGCAACCCACAUCUUUAGUUGCCAGCAUGUUAUGCUGGGCACUCUAAGGAAACUGCCCGUGAUAAGCGGGAGGAAGGUGUGGAUGACGUCAAGUCCUCAUGGCCUUACGGGUUGGGCUACACACGUGCUACAAUGGCAGGUACAAUGGGUUAAUCCCCAAAAGCUGUCUCAGUUCGGAUUGGGGUCUGCAACUCGACCCCAUGAAGUCGGAAUCGCUAGUAAUCGCGUAACAGCAUGACGCGGUGAAUACGUUCCCGGGCCUU
rnacentral:rRNA from 1 species